UACGGAGGAGGCAAGCGUUAUCCGGAAUUAUUGGGCGUAAAGCGUCCGCAGGUGGCACCUCAAGUCUGCUGUCAAAGACCGGGGCUUAACCCCAGAAAGGCAGUGGAAACUGAAGUGCUAGAGUGCAGUAGGGGUAGAGGGAAUUCCAGGUGUAGCGGUGAAAUGCGUAGAUAUCUGGAGGAAUACCGAUGGCGAAGGCGGCAUCCUGGACCGGCAUUGACGCUGAGGAGCGAAAGCCAGGGGAGCAAACGGG
rnacentral:rRNA from 1 species